rnacentral:rRNA from 1 species
CGUUACCUACGGGGGGCAGCAGUCGGGAAUAUUGCGCAAUGGAGGAAACUCUGACGCAGUGACGCCGCGUAUAGGAAGAAGGUUUUCGGAUUGUAAACUAUUGUCGUUAGGGAAGAUACAAGACAGUACCUAAGGAGGAAGCCCCGGCUAACUAUGUGCCAGCAGCCGCGGUAAUACAUAGGGGGCGAGCGUUAUCCGGAUUUACUGGGUGUAAAGGGGGCGCAGACGGCAGCGCAAGCCAGGAGUGAAAGCCCGGGGCCCAACCCCGGG